UUGUACUUAACACUACUGAACUAUGCACUUAAAAAUGGUUAAUUUUAUGAUAUGUGUAUUUUAUCACAAUUAAUAAAAACAAAACCCAGGAACUUCUGAUCCUUCUUUGUGAUCUUGUGCAUGUUUGUAACAUUGCAAGAGGGCACCACCAUGAGGCAUCACAACAGAGACACUGUGUCCAGAGAAGAAGAGACCUUCCUCUUGAUUAUUAGGGGGGGACCUUUCUCAGGAGGCCCCAGCAGACUUCACGUCUCAGCUGCCACUGGCCAGUUGGGUCUCAUGUGGCAAAGGAGCUUCAAAAGCUGAUAUGAGAAGAUGUAAGAAUUUGGGCUCAUCAAAUCUUCUCCUGAAAAUAUCGAACUAUCUGAAGGCCUGUUCUGCCAGUUUUCCCAGAGCACCGAGGGCCUCCUUCCUGAUCUCCACUCUGAACUCCUUUCAGCGGGUGUUGAAGGAAGAUUCUAAUGCCAUCCCAGAUGACACCGUGCUAAAUGGAUGGACUGGAAAGUGUUGGCAGUGAAGAAAGCAGAAAGGAGGAAAAAGGUGGAAUGUAAAAUAAUUGCAGUUUCUACAGAAAAUAACUUCCUCAUCAGAGAAGGAAUUCCAUAAAUAAUUGAGAAAGCUGACGGAACAUUUAAAAUAGCUGAAGGAAAAACACGCACAUUCAAUGUGAGCCUCGACCCUGCAGUGAUGGUUAGAUCUGAGAAGUACGUUGCAGGCGUUUGGGAGUAAUGGGUGUCAUGGAGGCGUCAUAUUCAAAGCCGUUGAAAAUAACCCACUCCCUGAGAAAUAAACACCUAGCCUAAGCCCUUAGGAAUUCUCAGUGAGGGACAGAAAUAGCUCCUGUAGUUCCCAUUGCUCUUUAAUUUCUACUCCUACUAUUUCAUUAUUCAUCAUUUCUGUGCAGUUUGCUUCGUCUAUUUAUUUAAAAUGCGAUUCCAGACGACAGGCAGCAGUCCCAGUGUUCUGUGUCUUGCAUAGCCCUUUCCACUCCGGGAAACAGAAAUUAUAUAACUUGUUUUCAGUUGUGCAGAUGGGGGAGGAUUCACAUGUUUGGUUUGGUGAGCUUCCAGGAAAUAAUUUUAAGUGUUUAUCUAAAGUUUAUUCAGACUGUCUUGAUCUAGAAGUUAGACAGGAAACCUAGCAGCGAACUGAAAGAAACCAGGCUCUGAAGAGGGGGAACUCAAUAAGUGUAGCCAGAAGGGUUGAACUGUGACACCCUGGGGUAUUUACACCAUGGAAAGCGGGAGGCUCGAUUCGAGGGCUUAUGUGAUUUAGAAGCUGCGUCAGUAUCAAUAUUUGCUACCACUUCCUGUUGCUCGUUGGUCUGGUUGCUGUUGCUAUAUAAUAACCUGCCCUAACACUUCAUAAACUGGUAUAAACUGGUAUAAACUUUCACCUCGCUCAUGAUUUUGUGGGUGAGGAAUCUAGAAAGGGCUCGGCUGGGUGGCUCUUGCGGAGGUUGCAGUCAGAUGCUUGUCGUCUGCAGGAU